UUUUUUCACUAAACGUAGUGACAAAAAGUUUCAGCAAAUAAGAUUAGCUGAAAACACAACGUCUGUGUUUGUUGCACCCUAAAAAAGAACUUAAAAACUCAGAUUUUUGCUUUUGUGCAACUUUAUUAAACAAAAUCCACGGUUCAAGCAUACAGUGCGUGUAGUUUUCUCUUUUCCAUACACAUUCACAGGUCAUGAACUUUAAACUCCCAUCAUGCAAUAUGUAGUUCUUAAAGGGGCAUUAUUAGGACAGAAAUCUAUGAAAUAAAAAGAUGAAGUAGUUUUAGCACAUAUUUAGCCAUAAACCAAAAGAAAUGUUUUAAUCAAAUACUAAAUGAAAUAAAUGCUAACCCAAUAAGAUCAAUAUACUUAUUACUUAAACAUUAUCAUGUUCCUAAAAUAUUUUCAGGGCUCUACAUGUAUGUACCAAUUUUUUGACCAAGCCAGAGCACACACUUACUUUCCUUAAACUAUUUUAUUAAAUGACCUUUAUGGUAUAAUGUAGGUAUCUUUAUAACAUGAUAUAUAUUAUAAAUGUUCUCAUGACAUAAGUCAUAUGUAGAGCUUAAUGUGUUUUAUUAAUGAAUACAAAAAGAUACUUAAUAUCAAAAUCUUAAGAACUUUUACAAUUAAUGAAGUUAUACCUAAAAUUCCAGAAACCAAGCUCCAAACACCGAAUUUAUUUUUAAAAAUUGUUUUACUAUGUUUUAUCACAAAAAAACAAAAACAGCAGACCCUUUAAAUCAUAGGUGUCAAACUCUGGCCCACGGGCCAAAAUUGGCCCGCAGUGUAAUUAUAUUUGGCCCGCGAGGCAAUUUCAAAUUAAUAUUAGAGCCGGCCCGCCGGUAUUAUACAUUGGCAACGCUGUGACGCCGCAUUCACCGCUUAUACUACAAAUCCCAUAAUGCUCUGCUGUUUUUUUUGGCGCGUCAAUCAGGACAGAGGCAGACACGCCUCCUCCUCUGUGUCAGUAGCACUUAUGGUAGCGGACAUGGAUGUAUUAGGAAGGUGGUGAUCCGUCUUCUUACGCACUCCUUCGGUUGAAAGCCCCGGCGCACCCCGCAUCCCCGGGCCUCUCCCCCAAACCACACUGCGACCUCAAACUACAGCUGUCACUGUGUUACCCUACCAAAAAAUGGCGAAAAGAAAGACAGAAAAUAGAACUUUUCUGGACAGGUGGGAGACAGAAUAUCUGUUUGCAUAUGU